CUCAAGGACCUCAAUGUCAAUCAUCCAAAGUCUUUUACAAUGUACUGCGACAUUCACUCCGCAUUCCAUAUCGCCGUCAAUCCAUCUUUCAUAAGUGAACAAAACAUAUAGAAGUGAAUUGCCAUAUCAUAAGAAAAAAGGUUCAAGAUGGGAUACUCAAGCUACUGCUAAUCUCUUGAGCUCACCAAACAGUUGAUCUAUUCACCAAAGCUUUAGCUCUGAACCCUUCAAGCAGAUGUAUUCCAAGCUUGGAUUAGUGAAUUUUCACUAUCCAGCUUGAGGGGGGAUAUUGAUACCCCUAAGCUAGCUAUAUGUAACAUUCAUUUAGCACACUAAUUAGGUUAGCUAUGCUCUAAGUUAGCUUUACGAAAUAAACAUCAAUCUCAUACUCUUCACAGGUGAGGUUCAUCAUUUUAAAUUUGUGUGCCAAAUUCCUUUCUCUCCAAUUUGAAUUUCUUAUCUCUUUUCUCUGAGUUCGAGUCACAAGUUUCCCGAGUUUGAACAGAAGAGGACUUCUUCAUUGGACAUUCUAUCAUCAAAACGUGCUCCACAAGGUUACUACAAGCCUACAAGGGCAAGAACUGCAAGCCUACUGGUUUCCAUACCCGUAAAGGUGGGUAUGUGGUGGUGCAAGAAAAAUUUGCCUUCCAUUUGUUUAGAUAGUACAGAAAUUUGCUUAAAAACUGCCCACAAGUCAAGACAUGUCUCGUGUCUCUAUUUUAAAGUAUACAAGUUAUCUUAGAAUUUGUCUCGACACAGGGACAACAUUAAGCUUUUGUCAAGACAUGUAUUUGUCCCCACCAUUUUUUUAUCCAUCUCUGUUUUUAUGACAAGAACCAAAUGCUACUUAAAUAUAAGUAUGGUUUAUAAAGGGGUUAGUAAAAGCUCUACGGUGCCUGUUAGUGUUAUCCUUCUAAUAAAUCAAGGAUAAGUGCAAAGUUUUGUAUAGUACUUGGUUUGAUCCUUAGCGAUCAAAAUAUUUUUUUAUUUUAUUUUCUCCCUUUUUUUUAAAUGAAUUUCAAAAAAAUUGACAGUUUCAUGAUCCGCAAAGAUGGACGAGAGAGCAAGCGCCGCCGUAUUUAUCCAAGGCUACAUUUGCUGCUUUCAAGUUGAAUGAUUCAAGAUGGGAUUCAGAUUAUAAGAAACUGUGGAAGCCUCCACCAAAUCAUGGCUUUCUGCCCUGCACUAAGCCUACUCCUAAUUAUACAACUUAUCCUGAAUCGCGAGGUUACAAAUGGAGGUCUCAACCAAAUGCAUUUCUAUCUCGAAUAUGUAUGGUAGCUGUAGCUCGCACCAUAAACGCCACUCAUGUAAUUCGGGAACUUGACAAGAAAUCAUUUUGGCAGGACGAUAGGUAGCUGAUCAACUUCUAUUAUGUUUCAGUUAAAAGUUCUCUCUAUUUUUUUUAUAAUUAGAUUUUAUAGUCCCUUUUUUCUUUGCAAUUUUUCUGAUAUCUUUGUCUCUUUGAUGAAGAGUGGUUCAUUAAUUCUUUAGCUAAUGAUGUAAAAAUCAUUAAAUCAUUAAUUUUUCUGAUA